UGAGAUUGAUUGAGAAAUAAUGGUCGGAUCUAGUCAGUGUCAAAGGAAAAUCAGAAGUGAAAUUGAGAAAGUUUAAGGGGGUACUGAAGAAGUGGAAUGUGGAGGAUAGUAAUAUGUUGGAAAUUAGAAUUAUUGUUAGCGAGUGUAGAUUAAAGGAGUUGGAUGAAAUUAGUAAGAUAAGAGAGUUAACAGCGGAGGAAAUGGAGGAAUUAAAACAUUUGAACACAGAGCUUUGGGAAGCAAUAUGAUUCAAAGAAUCCGUGUAGCGACAGAAAUCAAGAUUGUCAUGGUUAAAAAAAGGGGUUGCCUUCAGCGCCUUGUUUCAUAGAGCCGUGAAAAGAAGUUGGUUCGGUGGUGGCUUUUGCGUGGUGUGUUGGUCACUUUAGCCAGUUUUUGCAGAAAUUGAGUCUGCAAUUUUGUAGGUGGGUAAUGUUGUUUUCUCUCUGGCUGAUCGGAAAGGUAUUGUUUUGGCUUCGUCUUUAGCGAUGGAUGGUUUUAAUCAGCCGCAAAUGUUUAAAGCGUGGUGGUGAGGUUUUCUGUUCAAGAAUUAGCAGUUUCGUAUGUUGUAUUUGGAUUGUGACUUUAUUAUGCUUUUUGUUGCUUCUUUUUCUGUUUUUGGAUGCUGCUCUGUUUUCUUUGACAGUGCAGUCGAAUGUUGCAAAAAAAAAAAAAAACAUAAUUUACAUUGUUUGGAGUUUGCAAUCUUUUCAGUCAAAUUAAUUGGGCAAUAACUUAAAUGAUUUGGUGAAUGUUUGCU
rnacentral:lncRNA from 1 species